rnacentral:rRNA from 1 species
GAUGAACGCUGGCGGCGUGCUUAACACAUGCAAGUCGAACGGAAAGGCUCCUGCUUGCAGGGGUACUCGAGUGGCGAACGGGUGAGUAACACGUGGGUGAUCUGCCCUGCACUUCGGGAUAAGCCUGGGAAACUGGGUCUAAUACCGGAUAGGACGAUGGUUUGGAUGCCAUUGUGGAAAGUUUUUUCGGUGUGGGAUGAGCUCGCGGCCUAUCAGCUUGUUGGUGGGGUAAUGGCCUACCAAGGCGUCGACGGGUAGCCGGCCUGAGAGGGUGUACGGCCACAUUGGGACUGAGAUACGGCCCAGACUCCUACGGGAGGCAGCAGUGGGGAAUGUUGCACAAUGGGCGCAAGCCUGAUGCAGCGACGCCGCGUGGGGGAUGACGGCCUUCGGGUUGUAAACUCCUUUCGCUAGGGACGAAGCGCAAGUGACGGUACCUGGAGAAGAAGCACCGGCUAACUACGUG